rnacentral:rRNA from 1 species
AUGGGGGGAACCCUGAUCCAGCCAUGCCGCGUGUGUGAAGAAGGCCUUUUGGUUGUAAAGCACUUUAAGCGAGGAGGAGGCUACCGAGACUAAUACUCUUGGAUAGUGGACGUUACUCGCAGAAUAAGCACCGGCUAACUCUGUGCCAGCAGCCGCGGUAAUACAGAGGGUGCGAGCGUUAAUCGGAUUUACUGGGCGUAAAGCGUGCGUAGGCGGCUUUUUAAGUCGGAUGUGAAAUCCCUGAGCUUAACUUAGGAAUUGCAUUCGAUACUGGGAGGCUAGAGUAUGGGAGAGGAUGGUAGAAUUCCAGGUGUAGCGGUGAAAUGCGUAGAGAUCUGGAGGAAUACCGAUGGCGAAGGCAGCCAUCUGGCCUAAUACUGACGCUGAGGUACGAAAGCAUGGGGAGCAAACAGGAUUAGAUACCCUGGUAGUCCAUGCCGUAAACGAUGUCUACUAGCCGUUGGGGCCUUUGAGGCUUUAGUGGCGCAGCUAACGCGAUAAGUAGACCGCCUGGGGAGUA